rnacentral:rRNA from 1 species
GACAAACGCUGGCGGCGUGCUUAACACAUGCAAGUCGAGCGGUAAGGCCCUUUCGGGGGUACGACGAGCGGCGAACGGGUGAGUAACACGUGGGUGACCUGCCCUCAGCUCUGGGAUAAGCCUGGGAAACCGGGUCUAAUACUGGAUAUGACUCCAUGACGCAUGUUGUGGGGUGGAAAGCCUUGUGCGGCUGAGGAUGGGCCCGCGGCCUAUCAGCUUGUUGGUGGGGUGANGGCCUACCAAGGCGACGACGGGUAGCCGGCCUGAGAGGGCGACCGGCCACACUGGGACUGAGACACGGCCCAGACUCCUACGGGAGGCAGCAGUGGGGAAUCUUGCGCAAUGGGCGAAAGCCUGACGCAGCGACGCCGCGUGAGGGAUGACGGCCUGGUUG